UGCUCACUGUAGCAGCACUAUAGUAAAAUUGGAAUGAUACCGUGAGGAUUAACAUAGCCCAUGCACAAGGAUGACACACAAAUUAUGAAGUAUUCUAUAUUUUC